ACGGUGGCCCCGAAGGACCACAAAGCGCCGUCCGCACCUCCGUCCCCGCUCGGCCGCGUCCUGAAGUUCGCUGGACCGCGCAGGAAAGCGGCGGUAUCGAGAAACCCACCCCGACCGGCCGCAGUAACCGCUUAGGAUCGUUCAGAAAGAUGGCGAAAGAUUUGGAGGGAACAGCAGCGGAAGCCAUGGGAGACGGGGGCCGAAGCCAAGAGCUUUGGGGUCUCAUGUUGGCCUGUCACCCCCCGAAAACCGACGGAGGAUGGAUGGAGGCGGGUUUUUCUUUUUAGCAUCAUUGUCAUAAUUACUCAUCAGCUGUCUCAACAUAAUUUCAGAGUGAAGAGAAAUUAAUUCAGAGAAGCGCAGGCUCUCAAGGCUUGCCAGGUCACCCAUAGUAAGUCCUCAUGUCCUCAGCACAGAUUGGUAUGAGCUAGUGUGUCACGGUGUGCAUGAAUACAUCCAACACAAACAGUCGGCGCAUAGUGGGUAUUCAAUAAAUAUUUGUUGAAUGAUGAAUGAAGCUCUCGACUGGGAUCUGGCCAAGUGGUGAUUGGUGGUCAGUGAGGUGCAACAAAUGUGGACCCUUCCUCCCUCCCUUCCCCUCCCCUCCUCCUUUCCCUUCCGUCCUUCCUUCUUGAGAUGUAAUUCACAUACUAGAAACUGCAUUCUUUAAAACCCUCCUGUGGUUUUAAGCAUAUUCACAAAGUUGCUCAACCAUAGCCACUAUCUAAUUCCAAAACAUUUCAUCAUCCCAAAAAGAAACCUUGUAUCAGUUAGCAUCCGUUCCCCAUUCUCCCCUGCCUCUGGCAACAAUUAAUCUACUUUCUGUCUUUAUGGAUUUAAAAUAGAAUCCUACAAUAUGUGGCCUUAUGUGACCAGCUUCUCUCACUUAGUACAAUGUUUUCAAGGUUUAUCCAUGUUGUAGCCUAUGUCAGUAUUUCAUUGCUUUUGGUGGCUGAAUAAUAUUCCAUUGUAUGGAUGUACCACAUUUUGUUUAUCCACCCAUUGAUGGACAUUUGGGUUGUUUUUGCUUUUUGGCUAUUGUGAAGAGUGCUGCUGUGCACACACAUGCACACAUGUAUGGACAUAUGUUUUCAGUUCUCUCGGGUAUAUACCUGGAAUGGACAAAAUAUUUCUACUUGGAAUCAAAAGCCUGUAGUGCAGACUAGGAAACCGAAUGAGAAAUGGAUGAGGUGUUUAUAUCAGUCGCAUCAGUCUGUUCUCAAAUGUUGACAAGUUUAAAAGGGAAUAACAAAGCCUGUUCCACAGAAAGGCCCCCUCAGCUCUCUGCUCUCUGGGUGUUAACCCCACAGAAGUCUUCUUUUAAAUUAGGGAAGAUUAAAGGAGAUUGGGGAUUUUUUUCUUCUAUUUGUUUUUUUGUUUUAUUGUUUUUCAUUUUUUGGUUUGAAAGUGUCACUUUAUUGAGAACAACAGUAAAAUAGAAAAAUAAUCAGAAUUCAAGACAGAUUAAACCACAGUAUCACCACCUUAGCAGAUCAGCCAUCCGCAGUCUUUUGCCCAUUUGAUCCGGGACCCACCCCGGCCCUCUUCCGCUCCCCUAGCAUCGCAGGCUCCCCGGCACUCUGCUUCCAGGAGGUGCAGCCGGUUGCAGGUACUAACAGGAGACCGGAAGGCGGAGGGAGGGAGAAGCCGGGGCGUUCGUCCCGGUCUCCGCUUUGGGAAGCACCUCCUCUAGGGACUGCAUGUUCAGGGCUCCAGCUCCUCCGAGGUGCCAGCUUCUCCUGGGUGGUCCUGGCUUCCGGGCUCUGGUAACCCCACUUCCUCUCUCUGCCCUUCCAGUCCUAAAUGAGUGAGUCUCUUUCUGUGUUAUUAAUUUGUGGGCUGUCUCGUCCUCCCUCAUCUGUCUCCUCUACUCUAUCAUCUCCUGUUGUGAUGAUUUCAAAAUAUAUCCACAAAUCUUUUGACCCGCCUCCCUUCAAAAGGUGGAGCCCAAUUUCUCUCCCCUGAACUGGGAGGCAGACCUAGUGAUUCACUUCUAUCUAAGGAAGUGUGGCAGAUGUGACAGUGUGUGACCACUGAAGCUAAGUCAUAAAAGGUGUUGUUGCUUCUACCUUGUCCACUUGGAUCACUUCCUCUGGAGGAAGCCAGCUGUCCUGUCAUGAGGACACUCAAGCAGCUCUGGGAAAGGCCCACUUGGAAAGAAGCUGAAGCCAAAGCCAUGUGACAGCCAUCUUGGAAGUGGCUCCCCCAGCCCCGGUUAAGUCUUCAGAUGGCCGCAGCCCCUACCGACAUCUUGACUGUGAACUCAAGAGAGACCUUAUAUCAGAACCGCUCAGCCAAGCUGUCCCUGAACCCCAGACCUGCAGGCACUGUGAAAGAUAAUGAUUAUUGUUGUUUUAAGCCACUAAAUGUGGGGGUUGCUUUUCACACAGCAGUAGAUAACUAAUACACCUGUUUAACCAGUUUCCUACAUGAAAACCUUUCUGUUGGAAAGACCUAGAGUGCGUUCUAUUUUCUGACUGAUACAAACUCUAGUCCUGAAUUGUAAACCUAAUGCAAAAUUAGCAUCUGUAAAAAAUGAGAAGUAUAAACGGGAGUUUGUUACUAAGAGUGAGGCUGGGUCACGUGACCCCGGGCCCCUGUGAUGGGUUCUGCGUGUAGGCAGGGAACAAUACCUGGAAGUAAUUAAUUAUAGGCUGAAGAGGGUAAUCUAAAUCUGAGAAGUUAGAGGGGAGCAGAAGGGGGCCAUUCUUGAUGAUGGGAUCCCCUGACGAGGGUAUUAGUAAAGAGGGAGGCAAUAUUUUUUAAAAAGUUGGAUAAUCAUGUGUAAAGAGUAGUCCGGAUCAUGAAGAUGAAAUUGAAGUAUUAAAAAGAGAAAGUUUUGACACGGCCACAUUUCCACAGUGUGGGCGAGCACUACCUGCUUCCUGGUCCCAAACUAAAUAUUGAUAUAUAUAUAUAUUUUUUUGGUCUGUUCCGUACCUGUUCUCUGCUCUGUCGAGCACCCCGCUUGUCCACUGACGAUUCCCUCACUCCUGUCUUAUCCCAUGCCACUCAGGUGGACUGUCCCCCACCUCCUGCUCUAAGCCUGACCGAUCAGCAGCUAUCUACCCUAAGGACAGCAGUUGGUCUGGGGGUGGGCCCAUGUCCCAAGCUCAGCCAAUGAUACGGUUCUUGAACCAGUAGGAUGUAACACUAGAGGUCCUGGAGGCCACCUGCGCCACCAUGCGUAGAGAGAGCGCCUGCAGGAAGUGAUGAAACGUUGCAUGGAUCUGGAGCUGAGCAUCAAAGAACAGCGGAAGUCAGAGGACCUCGCCGAGCUCCCGGAUGCAGCUGUGCCUGAAGUCCACGUCCUGGAUGGCUUUUUUAUGUCACUCUUUUGCUUAGGCCAGUUUGCAUUAAAGAGUUUUGACAAACUGGAGAUCCGAAACAAGGCGUUACAAGUACAGAGACUUCAGCCCAUAUCUGUUUGGAGAUGCCGAUGAUAAGUAGGCUCGAUGCUACAUAUGUUUUAAAAUAAGCUGGUCAGUUCAUUGGUGGCAUGGAUUAGUCAUUUCGACAGUGCAUAAAGAGAGACUGUGUUUUCAAAGACUAGAUUUGGGGCUAGGAAGUACUGAUCCCUCUUUUAGCCCUGUCACUUCUUUAGGGGUGCAUACUCAAUUCCCUGCUGGGGGAUCUUUAGUUUCUCACCUGUGAAACGGAGUAAUGUCUCCUCAGGAAGGCUGCUUCCCUACCCGCCUCUGCAGACUGAGUCCGCUGCUCUUAUUCUGAGUUUCAACAAAAUCCUGCGUGUGGUUCCAUCAUAGUCUUUAUCUUGUCAUUUUAUUUUUUUUAUUCAGAUAUAAUUUAUAUAACAUACAAUUCACCCUUUUAAAGUGUCCGAUUCUGUGGUUUUAGUUAUGCUCACAGAGUUGUGAAAAUAUCACCACAAUUCAUUUUUUUUAAAUCUUAAAGAUUAUCGGUUCAGCUAUAGAGCCUAGAGGUGGCAAAAAAUUAGGCACAGCUUGAGCCAGGUGCUCUAAUGACCAGGAUGUGGUCUGAUCUCCCAUAUCUUGGCCCUGCUUCCUCCCUCCUGCCUUCUUACUCAGCCUGGCUCUCCCCAGACGGUGACAAGGUGGCCAUCAGCAGCCCCAGGCUUCCAGCCGAUCUUCUCAGCAACCCACUAGGAAAAAGCAACCAACCACAAUGAUAACCUUUUCCGAGAGGCCAGGAAAAGUCCCAUGGACUCGCAUUGGACUGUCUGAGAUCUGCACCCAUCCCUGAGCCAACCACCAGGCACUGGGCCUCCCCUGGAACCAGGCAGCAGGGGAGGAGUGGUUCCCCUGAGGAAGAUCAGAACAACGGGAUGGAUCUUAGCAGGCAGAAGCAGCAGAUGUCCUCUCUCCUCACUGGACUACAGGGACUUCUGGCCACAUCCAUCUCUGCAGUCCCGGAGCCCCGCCUGGCACACGCAGGUACUCGGUGGCUGGAGCUUCCUGGCUGGGUGAACCCUUCCUCCCUUCCUUCCCACCCCCUCUUCUGGAGCCCGGUUCAUCUCCCCAGAACAAGGAGCUCUGUGAGGACGUAAAGGUUCCUACGAGGUGGUCUGAGCUUCAGAUACUGCUAUUACCACGGGCAAAACAGCGGGGAGGGCGGAAACAACCCGGGGUCCGACACGGGUGGGUGACUGGAUAAACGAAACAUGGUCCAUUCACACAGCCGUGAAAAAGGAAGAUGCACAGACACGCCACAGCAUGGACGAACCUUGAAGACACGAUGCUGAGUCCAAGAAACCGGUCACAAAAUGGCCAUACGUUGUCCGUUUCCAUUUACGUGAAAUGUCUAAAGCAGGAAAAUCCAUAGAGACAGAGCAGCUCGGUGGUCGCCUCGGCCCGUGGCGGGGAGUAGGGACGUGGCAGGGAGGGCCUGCUAAUUGGGUUUCUGUUCAGAGCACGUAUCACGUUCUGUGACUAGGUGGUUAUGACGGUUACGCGUAUCUGUGAAUAUACAAAAAGUCACCGAUUGUCCCCUUUAAAUGCAUGCAAUUUGUAGCAUGCGAACUAUAACUCAAUAAAGCUGUUUAAAAGAAACCAA